AUUGAACGCUGGCGGCAUGCUUUACACAUGCAAGUCGAACGGUAACAGGCCUUCGGGUGCUGGCGAGUGGCGAACGGGUGAGUAAUGCAUCGGAACGUACCCAGAGGUGGGGGAUAACGCAGCGAAAGCUGUGCUAAUACCGCAUGUGAUCUGAGGAUGAAAGCGGGGGACCGAGCAGCAAUGUUUGGCCUCGCGCCUUUGGAGCGGCCGAUGUCGGAUUAGCUAGUUGGUGGGGUAAAGGCCUACCAAGGCGACGAUCCGUAGCUGGUCUGAGAGGACGACCAGCCACACUGGGACUGAGACACGGCCCAGACUCCUACGGGAGGCAGCAGUGGGGAAUUUUGGACAAUGGGCGCAAGCCUGAUCCAGCAAUGCCGCGUGCGGGAAGAAGGCCUUCGGGUUGUAAACCGCUUUUGGCAGGAACGAAGCGGUGUCCGCUAAUACCGGGCGCUAAUGACGGUACCUGCAGAAUAAGCACCGGCUAACUACGUG
rnacentral:rRNA from 1 species